rnacentral:rRNA from 1 species
GUGAGGAAUAUUGGUCAAUGGGCGCGAGCCUGAACCAGCCAAGUAGCGUGAAGGAUGAAGGCUCUAUGGGUCGUAAACUUCUUUUAUAUGGGAAUAAAGUUUUCCACGUGUGGAAUUUUGUAUGUACCAUAUGAAUAAGGAUCGGCUAACUCCGUGCCAGCAGCCGCGGUAAUACGGAGGAUCCGAGCGUUAUCCGGAUUUAUUGGGUUUAAAGGGAGCGUAGGUGGAUUGUUAAGUCAGUUGUGAAAGUUUGCGGCUCAACCGUAAAAUUGCAGUUGAAACUGGUAGUCUUGAGGACAGUAGAGGUGGGCGGAAUGCGUGGUGUAGCGGUGAAAGGCGGAGAUAGCACGAAGAACUCCGAUGGCGAAGGCAGCUCACUAGACUGUUACUGACACGGAGGCGCGAAAGGGGGGGGAGCAAACAGGA